AUGCUCACGUCAGUAGCAUAUGUACUACAACUAAAACAGAACAGAGACUAGCAUGGCCUUUGCACAAGGAUUACAUGCAAAUUUGUGAAGUGUUCCAUAGAUUU